rnacentral:precursor_RNA from 8 species
CUCAGUUGGUUAUGGCUGCUCUCCUCCUGUUCCCUGAGACCCUAACUCGUGAGGUCUUUUUCCAAAAUCACGGGUCAGGAGCUUGGGAGACAGGUGGAGGGCUUCAGCAGCUUUGAUCAAA